rnacentral:rRNA from 1 species
UACAGAGGGGGCAAGCGUUAUUCGGAAUUAUUGGGCGUAAAGGGCGCGUAGGCGGCUUUGCAAGUGACGGGUGAAAUCCCUCGGCUUAACCGAGGAACUGCCUGUCAGACUGUGAGGCUUGAGACCGGGAGAGGUGAGUGGAAUUCCCAGUGUAGCGGUGAAAUGCGUAGAUAUUGGGAGGAACACCGGUGGCGAAGGCGGCCUGCUGGGCAGUUGCUGACACUGAGGCGCGACAGCGUGGGGAGCAAACAGG